rnacentral:rRNA from 1 species
CUGAAAUCAAGUGUGACGACCCCCUGAAUUUAAAGCAUAUA